UCCGGGAUCGUCUAACGGCAGGACAUCAGGUUCUGGACCUGAGAAUCAAGGUUCGAAUCCUUGUCCCGGAACCA
rnacentral:tRNA from 1 species